AACAAAGCUCUAAAGAUGCUAGUUCACUCUUCAAGAAUUUAAUGGAUUCAUCAGCUAUUGUAUCAUAUCAAGAAUCUUGCAACACUAAUCCUGCAGUUGUUCCGUAGCUGUGCUACUAUGUGGUAUUAUCAUCCCUUCCGAAGGAUUUCUCCUAGCUUAGAGACUAUGCUUAUCCUACAUAAUAUUGAGAUGACAGAAGUGUAGUAAACUCUUUCGCAUUUUGGUUGAAUUUAAGAUUUUAAUGGUACGAGUGACUGCUGAGGAUAAUCAGUGGACAAUCUUCAGCUAAUUUCAGU
rnacentral:lncRNA from 1 species